rnacentral:rRNA from 1 species
UACGUAGGGUGCAAGCGUUGUCCGGAAUUAUUGGGCGUAAAGAGCUCGUAGGCGGUCUGUCGCGUCUGCUGUGAAAACUCGGGGCUUAACCCCGGGCCUGCAGUGGGUACGGGCAGACUAGAGUGCGGUAGGGGAGACUGGAAUUCCUGGUGUAGCGGUGAAAUGCGCAGAUAUCAGGAGGAACACCGGUGGCGAAGGCGGGUCUCUGGGCCGUAACUGACGCUGGAGGAGCGAAAGCCGUGGGGGAGCGAACAGGA